AUAAUCAACUAAGACAAAAUAGCUUUCAAAAAGUAUUUUGUUGAAAAAACGACUUGAGACUUUUUCAAGCAUACUAAACACACAAAGUCUAUGAAUGAGCUAAAUUCCAUUCAUAUUUUCCCCACUGGUGACCCCUCUUUGGGACGAGACUUGCUAUAAAAAAUAAUCAUAUUGGAAGGCAAAGCAGAACAAGUUGCAAAAGGGAAAUAAAGAUGUUCAUAUACAAAGGCACAACUACUACAUGUGCUAUGUUAAUGGUGGUUUUCUUUGUACUGUGCAUGAAUUCUUGUUGUGAAUACGGUGAAGCAUCAAGAAUAUUCGUAGACUUCUCUCCAAGUACUCAAGUAACGCAAAGACUGGACGGCCUGGGAAGCAGCCACCGCCGGAGCACCAGGGUGUCGCCUGGUGGGAGCUAUCCUUCCCCGGCAGCGAAUGUGAAUGACCAUGUGCAUCACUAGUGCUUGUUUUCACAUUGUUGUUUCAUCCGUGUGACAAGAUCUAGUACCCAGUCUCUAUUUAGUUAUGCACUUCCCAUUACAAUAAGACUUUGUUUAAUAUUGUGUGUGUUUAUGACAUUUCAAAUAUGAAGCAAUGAAAGUAAAUUUAACUUGGCCCGUC